rnacentral:tRNA from 1 species
AUUUACAUAUUAUAAUUUUAUUAAAAUUGAUUUCCAAUCAAAAAAUCCAGAAAUUCUGGUGUAAAUA